rnacentral:rRNA from 1 species
UGAGUACAAGAUGCUAAGGCAUCGAAGUAGUGUAUGUCAGACUUCCAAGAAAAGCUUGCACUGUCAUAAAUGAAAAAUGCCUGUACCAUAACCGACACAGGUGGGUAGGUAGAGUAUACUAAGGGGCGCGAGAUAACUCUCUCUAAGGAACUCGGCAAAAUAACUCCGUAACUUCGGGAGAAGGAGUGCCUUGUUUAUAAGGUUGCAAUAACAAGAUCCAAGCAACUGUUUACCAAAAACACAGGUCUCCGCUAAGUCGUAAGACGAUGUAUGGGGGCUGACACCUGCCCAGUGCCAGAAGGUUAAAGAAGUUGGUUAGCAUUCGCGAAGCUGAUAACUGAAGCCCUGGUGAACGGCGGCCGUAACGAUAACGGUCCUAAGGUAGCGAAAUUCCUUGUCGGGUAAGUUCCGACCCGCACGAAAGGCGUAAUGAUUUGGAUACUGUCUCGGAGAGGGGCUCGGUGAAAUAGACUUGUCUGUGAAGAUGCGGACUACCUGCACCUGGACAGAAAGACCCUAUGAAGCUUUACUGUAACUUGAAAUUGAAAUUGGACUUUAUUCGCGCAGUAUAGGUGGGAAGCGUUGAAAAUAUUCUUGCGGGAAUAUUGGAGCUAUCAGUGAGAUACCACUCUUAUAAUGUUAGGUUUCUAACUUUGUACCAUUAUCUGGUCAAAGAACAGUUUCGGGCGGGCAGUUUGACUGGGGCGGUCGCCUCCCAAAUGGUAACGGAGGCGUACAAAGGUUUCCUCUGAACGGGUAGAAAUCGUAUCUAGAGUGUAAAGGCAAAAGGAAGCUUGACUGUGAGACCUACAAGUCGAGCAGGGACGAAAGUCGGUCUUAGUGAUCUGACGGUACUGAGUGGAAAGGCCGUCACUCAACGGAUAAAAGUUACUCUAAGGAUAACAGGCUGAUCUCCCCCAAGAGUUCACAUCGACGGGGAGGUUUGGCACCUCGAUGUCGGCUCAUCGCAUCCUGGGGCGGUAGUACGUCCCAAGGGUUGGGCUGUUCGCCCAUGAAAGCGGUACGCGAGCUGGGUUCAGAACGUCGUGAGACAGUUCGGUCCAUAUCCGGUGUAGGCGUUAGAAUAUUGAGAGGAGCCUUCUCUAGUACGAGAGGACCGAGAAGGACAUACCUCUGGUGUACCAGUUAUCGUGCCAACGGUAAACGCUGGGUAGCUAUGUAUGGAGUGGGUAACCGCUGAAAGCAUCUAAGUGGGAAGCCCACCUCAAGAUGAGUAUUCUCAUC